AACUCCUCCAGCUGCUCAUUUCUAAAAGUAGAAAGCUGAGAGCCAGAAAACUGAAGUGGGUUGCCUAAAAACACACAGAAAAUUCAACACAAUUCUUCAGCAGUUUGAAGUAUGUGUACUUUCCAGCCCUUUUCUCUGCCUACUACACCCUGUAAACAUGUUCUGAACAGAUGGGAGAGUGAUCCACUGCAGUUAACCCCAGACACACACAGAGAACCCAAGGAUGGAAGAAAGAAGCGCUUCUGCUCUUUCCUUCCUCUGGGCACCAGCUGAAGCCCAGAGUGAUGAGAGAGAAGGGAGACUGACUCAUCAUAUAGAACAAGGGCCAUACCGUACAAGACAACAGAGACUCAAUAUGAGAGAAUACUGGAUCCCUGGGCUGCUGCAUGCGAGAGAGCUGACUCCCGCACAACCUGGAGACCUACUUGGGAUUACCAUGUAAGGAAACUGAGACACAGGGGUUCACCCGUGCAAGACCGUCUUCCUAGAAGAUAGAGGAGCCAGAAUUCUAGCACGGUGACUCCAGUCAGCACCCUUUAUCAGUUGCCACAGCAAAU
ensembl:lncRNA